UUGCUUUGGCGGGCCGCCUCCAAGGCCAGCGGCUUCGGCUGCUGCGCGCCCGCCGGAGGACCACAACUCUUGUUUUUAGUGAUGUCUGAGUACUAUAUAAUAGUUAAAACUUUCAACAACGGAUCUCUUGGUUCUGGCAUCGAUGAAGAACGCAGCGAAAUGCGAUAAGUAAUGUGAAUUGCAGAAUUCAGUGAAUCAUCGAAUCUUUGAACGCACAUUGCGCCCUUUGGUAUUCCGAAGGGCAUGCCUGUUCGAGCGUCAUUAUAACCACUCAAGCUCUCGCUUGGUAUUGGGGUUCGCGGCUUCGCGGCUCCUAAACUCAGUGGCGGUGCCUGUCGGCUCUACGCGUAGUAAUACUCCUCGCGUCUGGGUCCGGUAGGUUGCUUGCCAACAACCCCCAAUUUUUUUACAGGUUGACCUCGGAUCAGGUAGGGAUACCCGCUGAACUUAAGCAUAUCAAUA
rnacentral:rRNA from 1 species